CCGACGGCCGGUCGGCCUUGCGAAGCUUUGCUUCGGGGGUGGACUUCUGGAUCGCGUAGCAGCGUUUGCGUCGGUAUCUGGGCUUGUAGCUCAGUUGGUUAGAGCACACGCUUGAUAAGCGUGGGGUCGGAGGUUCAAGUCCUCCCAGGCCCACCAUGUUACAUGAUAAGGGGCCGUAGUUCAGCUGGGAGAGCACCUGCUUUGCAAGCAGGGGGUCGUCGGUUCGAUCCCGUCCGGCUCCACCAUCGUGUUUUGGUGUAGAGACGGAUAUUGGCAAUCAACGAAAGAAAGAAACAAGUUUGCGGACUUUUAUGAAAGUCUGCCUGUUCUGUAUGAAAUCGUGAAGAGAAGAUGUAAUCGGAUCAACUAUCCAGUUGAUGUCGCAAGAGCUUGCUCAAGCCUUGCAUUAUGAUUGAUGUGUUUAACCGCCAUCACCGAUU
rnacentral:tRNA from 1 species